UACGAAGGGGGCUAGCGUUGUUCGGAAUCACUGGGCGUAAAGCGCACGUAGGCGGAUUGUUAAGUCGGGGGUGAAAUCCUGAGGCUCAACCUCAGAACUGCCUUCGAUACUGGCAAUCUCGAGUCCGGAAGAGGUUGGUGGAACAGCUAGUGUAGAGGUGAAAUUCGUAGAUAUUAGCUAGAACACCAGUGGCGAAGGCGGCCCAACUGGUCCGGCACUGACGCUGAGGUGCGAAAGCGUGGGGAGCGAACAGG
rnacentral:rRNA from 1 species